rnacentral:rRNA from 1 species
GUGGGGAAUAUUGGGCAAUGGGGGAAACCCUGACCCAGCAACGCCGCGUGAAGGAAGAAGGUUUUCGGAUCGUAAACUUCUAUCCUUGGUGAAGAUAAUGACGGUAGCCAAGAAGGAAGCCCCGGCUAACUACGUGCCAGCAGCCGCGGUAAUACGUAGGGGGCAAGCGUUGUCCGGAAUGAUUGGGCGUAAAGGGCGCGUAGGCGGCCUGGUAAGUCUGGAGUGAAAGUCCUGCUUUUAAGGUGGGAAUUGCUUUGGAUACUGUCGGGCUUGAGUGCAGGAGAGGUAAGCGGAAUUCCCGGUGUAGCGGUGAAAUGCGUAGAGAUCGGGAGGAACACCAGUGGCGAAGGCGGCUUACUGGACUGUAACUGACGCUGAGGCGCGAAAGUGUGGGGAGCAAACAGGAUUAGAUACCCCUGUAGUCC